rnacentral:rRNA from 1 species
UGCGCUUACAAUCCGUCAGAGCCUUCGACUUUGUCGUGGGGUGAUGGCGUGCCUUUUGAAGAAUGAGCCUGCGAGUCAGGGACAUGUCGCGAGGUUAACCCGGGUGGGGUAGCCGCAGCGAAAGCGAGUCUGAAUAGGGCGUAUCCACACAGUAGUGUGUGGUGUAGUGGUGUGUUCUGGACCCGAAGCGGAGUGAUCUACCCAUGGCCAGGGUGAAGCGCGGGUAAGACCGCGUGGAGG